rnacentral:snoRNA from 1 species
AAGUGUCAUAUGAUGAUCAAUAGCAUAGUUCAAAUGAUCUAUUCAUGAUUAUACAAAUUCUUAGUCUUUCGCUCCUAUCUGAUGACUCCU